rnacentral:rRNA from 1 species
GAUUGCAGGCUGCAACCCGCCUGCAUGAAGUCGGAAUUGCUAGUAAUCGCGGAUCAGCAUGCCGCGGUGAAUACGUUCCCGGGCCUUGUACACACCGCCCGUCACACCAUGGGAGCCGGUAAUACCCGAAGUCAGUAGUCCAACCACGUGAGGACGCUGCCGAAGGUAGGAUUGGCGACUGGGGUGAAGUCGUAACAAGGUAUC